CGUGAGAUGUUGGUAGUCCGCAACGAGCGCAACCCCUAUUGUUAGUUGCCAUCAUUCAGUUGGGCACUCUAGCGAGACUGCCGGUAAUAAACCGGAGGAAGGUGGGGAUGACGUCAAAUCAUCAUGCCCCUUAUGACCUGGGCUACACACGUGCUACAAUGGUUGGUACAACGAGUUGCGAGUCGGUGACGGCGAGCUAAUCUCUUAAAGCCAAUCUCAGUUCGGAUUGUAGGCUGCAACUCGCCUACAUGAAGUCGGAAUCGCUAGUAAUCGCGGAUCAGCACGCCGCGGUGAAUACGUUCCCGGGCCUU
rnacentral:rRNA from 1 species